rnacentral:lncRNA from 1 species
CCCCUAAAAAAUUUUUCUAGCUUCGCCCCUGACCUCAGCCUGCGGAUUUGGAUGCUUCAUUGCGACACUAUAACACUCAACUCGGCACAUACCCUCGGACAAAGGUGAUGAGUUCCUCAACCCUUUGAUUGGAAUUACCUUCCAUGUAACAUUUAUUUCUUGUAGUUUAAAUUGCCCACAUUGCUGUUGCGAUCUCAAUUUUCUUUGCACCUGUAUAUUGCACAUAAAGCCAUGAUAGCUAGGUGAUAAAGUCGAGUUGCGAUACACCUGAUGGCCAUUUAAUUCCUAGUUUAUCCCAAAUUCCACAUGUGAACACACUAUCUCUACUUACAUGAUUAACAGUUUCGAUAUCAGAAAAACAACAAAGACAUAAAGCAUCUGUAACCACUCUGAUGAAGUUGGUUCAGCAUGCAGCAAACUCGACAGCAUGCAGGCCAUGAAGACCAAGUCAUGCAGGAGCUGCUGAUGCAAGCUUAUUUUGUUUAUUUUGUAAUUCCUAGUCAAUGAAAUGUAAUCUUAGUUCAUUUCUAACUAAGUUAGGUUGUUGACUGAUGUAAUUAGCUUAUGUAUGAGCUGUAAACACAACUUUGUAUAAGUUUACAAGCCAAAAUUUCAAGUUUCCAUGUCAUUAGUGGAGGUAGGUGAUGUUUAGGUAAUUACUUACUGUUUUUGACAAGCUUAGUACCUGGUUUAUGUAUUGGCAUUGUGCCAUUAUGCAAUUUAUGAAUGAAGUUCAGUUUGUUCAUCAAUUUUUCUCUUCAUUUUCUCUUAGCUUUUCUUCCUUUCUCUUGCUCGAAUUUUCUUGUUUGCUCAGCAAGUCUCGAGACUUGCUCGACAAGUCUGUACUGAAUCUGUUAGUUUCAGUUACAGCACCAACAAUUGGUAUCUAGAGCCUAUUUCUUAAGGGAUCUGUUACACAAAUCCAUGGCUUCAUCAAGCUUUUCACCAGCUGCACCUCAAGUCUUCAAUGGAGAAGGCUAUCACAUAUGGGUGGUCAAAAUGAAGACCUACCUGCAGGCUUUCGAUCUGUGGGAGGUGGUCAACUCUGAUGUUGAACCAGAGCCACUUAGAGCUAAUCCAACAGUGGCUCAGAUCAGGCAGCAUGCUGAUGAAAGGACCAAGAGGCACAAGGCUAUGUCUUGCAUCCAAAACUCAGUGUCUGAUGUGAUUUUCACAAGGAUUAUGGCCUGUGAAUCACCAAAACAGGCCUGGGACAAGUUGCAGGAAGAGUUUCAAGGGACAGUGAGGACAAGGCAGCAACAGUUGUUGAACUUGAGAAGAUAUUUCGAGAAUUUGAAGAUGAAGGAAGAAGAAACUGUCAAGCAAUAUUCUGACAGGAUUAUGGCUGUGGUUAACAGCAUCAGGCUCUUAGGAGAGCAGUUCAAUGAAGCUAGGAUAGUGGAGAAGGUUAUAGCAACUCUGCCUGAGAGGUAUGAGGCAAAAAUCUCAUCUCUCGAGGACUUAAGGGACCUGUCCACCAUCUCCUUGACAGAGUUGAUCAAUGCUCUAUAUGUUCAAGAGCAGAGGAGAGCAAGCAGACUGGAGGAGCACCAAGAAGGUGCCUUUCAGGCAAGAACAAAUUCUGCCUACAAAGGCAAGAAGGCCUGGAGAGACAAGCCAAAGAAUGAUGCUGCAAGGAGAGAAGGUCAGACUUGCAAGCACUGCAGAAAGGCUGGUCAUUCAGAAGAAAAAUGCUGGUUCAAUCCAGAUGCUGUGUGUCAGCAUUGUAAGAAAAAGGGUCAUGUUGAGAGAGUCUGUAAGAGCAAGGCCAAAUCAAGGCACAAUCAGUUUCAACAGAUGAAAGCUGAGGCUCGAGUAGCUAAGGAGGACAGUGACCAAGAGGAGCAAGUCUUUGCUGUGUCAUGCUCAGCUGCUCAGGAAAGGUCCUCAUCUGGUUGGCUCCUAGGCAGUGGAUGCACCAACCACAUGACACCUGAUGCUGCAAUCUUCAAGUCUUUAGACAGAAGCUGCAGAACUAAAGUCAAGAUAGGAAAUAGUCAUUUUAUUCAAGCUGAAGGCAAGGGUGAUGUGCUGAUAUGCACUCUUACAGGUACCAAAGUGAUUUCAAAUGUGCUGUUGGUGCCUGAAAUUGACAGAAACCUGCUCAGCAUAGCUCAGUUGCUGGAAAAAGGUUAUUCAGUUGUGUUUAAAGACCACCAGUGCCAAAUCAGUGAUCCAAGUGGAUCCAAACUGAUGGCAGUCCCCAUGGCUGAUAAGAGCUUUGUGGUUAACUGGACAAAGAAGUCAGACAUUGCCUACACAGCCACUUCAGAUGAAUCCAAGUUGUGGCAUCAAAGACUGGGACAUGCCAACUUCAUAUCGAUGGCCCGAAUGAUCAGAGAAGACCUGGCUGAAAACUUCAUCAACUCAGUGGACCAUGAUGAUGUAUGUGAAGUAUGUCAGCUAGGAAAGCAGGCCAGACUCCCAUUUCCCUCGAAUCAAGCCUGGAGAGCCUCUGAAAAACUCCAACUGGUGCAUACUGAUGUGUGUGGCCCUAUGAAGACUGAGUCAUUAAGUGGAAACAGGUAUUUCAUACUGUUCAUUGAUGAUUUCUCAAGAUAUUACUGGAUUUAAUUCUUAAAACAGAAAUCAGAGGUGGCCACUGUGUUUUGGAAGUUCAAAACUGCUGCUGAGACUGAAACAGGCUGCAAGGUGAAGACCAUAAGGUCUGAUAAUGGGUCUGAGUACACCUCAGCUCAGUUCCAAGCCUUCUGUGAUAAGGCAGGCAUCAAACAUCAACUUACCAACACAUAUACACCUCAGCAGAAUGGGGUAAGUGAAAGGAAGAAUAGGAGUUUGAUGGAUAUGGCCAGGUGCUUGAUGAUUCAGAAGAAUCUGCCUAAAGCACUAUGGGCAGAAGCAGUUAACACUGCAACAUACAUUCAAAAUAGACUUCCAACCAAGGCUUUGGAUCAAAAGACCCCAUUCGAGGCCUGGUUUAGCUUCAAGCCAUCACUGGCUCAUCUGAAGGUCUUUGGAUGCAUCUGUUAUGCACAUGUACCUGUUGUUAAAAGGGACAAAUUGUCUGAAAGGGCUCGACCUGGUGUUUUGGUGGGGUAUAGCACUGUUAAGAAGGGCUAUAGGAUUUUAGAUCCUUCAACAAACAAAGUGUCAGUAAGCAGGGACGUGGUAUUUGAUGAGAGGUCAUGUUGGAACUAGGAAAGACAUGAACCUGAAGAAGUUUCUGAAGAACUUGCAGCAGACCAAGCUGAGCCAGACCAAAAUGUCCUUGAAAUGGAUAUUGAUGAUGAACCAGUCAGAGGAACAAGGCCAUUGGCUGAGAUUUAUGAAAGGGCUCAUGUAGCCAUAGUUGAACCAAGCAACUAUGAAGAGGCUGAGGCUCAGCAAGGGUGGAAGCAGGCAAUGGCUGAGGAGAUCAGCAUGAUUGAGAAGAACCAGACCUGGGAAUUGGUUGAAAGGCCAGUCAAAAGGAAGGUGAUUGGGGUGAAAUGGGUGUACAAAGCCAAGCAGAAUGCUGAUGGUACCUUGAACAAGCUGAAAGCAAGGCUAGUUGUCAAGGGGUUCAGUCAGAGGUAUGGCUUGGACUACUUGGAGACCUUUGCACCAGUGGCCAGGCUUGACACCAUCAGACUGCUGAUUGCCUUAGCAGCACAGCUCGAAUGGAAGAUCCAUCAACUUGAUGUGAAAUUAGCCUUUCUGAAUGGUUUCUUAGAUGAAGACAUCUAUGUUGAACAACCACAAGGGUUUGAAAUAGAUGGCAGAGAGCAUAUGGUCUACAAACUGAAGAAGGCCCUAUAUGGAUUAAAACAGGCUCCAAGGGCUUGGUAUAGCAGAAUCGAUGGCUACUUGACUGAUCUGGGAUUCGAUCGAAGCAAGAGUGAGCCAACACUGUAUGUCAAGAAACAAGGGACACAAAUACAACUCAUUGUGUCCCUGUAUGUUGAUGACCUUCUGGUGACAGGAGGAGAUCGAGUAGUGCUGGCUGAUUUCAAGACCAAGAUGCAGGAAGUGUUUGAAAUGUCUGAUCUUGGGGAGAUGUCCUAUUUUCUUGGAAUGGAGGUGUCUCAAGUACAGAAUGAGAUAUUUCUAAGCCAGAGAAGCUUUGCCACAAAGAUUCUGACCAAGUUCUCCAUGCAAAACAGCAAGGCAACUAAAACACCUGUUGCUGUUGGAGAAAAACUAUCGAGCCAAGGUGAUUUUGAGAAAGUAUGUGAAACAACCUACAGGAGUCUAGUUGGUUGCUUGCUAUACUUGACUGCCACUAGACCAGACAUCAUGUAUGCUGUAGGAUUGCUCUCAAGGUUCUUGCAUUGCUGCAAUGAGAAGCAUUUCCAAGCUGCAAAGAGAGUGCUGAGAUAUGUCAAAGGCACUUUAAACUAUGGUUUGAAGUACAGCAAAGAAGGAAAUCUGAAGCUGGUUGGCUACACUGAUAGUGACUGGGUUGGCUCGAUAGAUGACAUGAAAAGCACCUCAGGGUAUGCUUUUAACCUUGGUUCAGCCAUGUUUUGCUGGAGCUCAAAGAAGCAAAGUCUAGUAGCUCAAUCUACUGCUGAAGCAGAGUAUGUGGCAACAGCAAGUGCUAUCAACCAAGCCAUAUGGCUAAAGAAAAUAUUAGCUGACUUGAAUGUGCAUCAAGAGGAAGCUACUGAGAUCUUCUGUGACAACCAAUCUGCAGUAGCAAUUGCUAAAAAUCCAGUGUUCCAUGGAAGAACAAAACAUUUCAGCAUCAAGUUGCAUGAUGUUCGAGAAAUGGAGCAAGCUCAGGAAGUAAAGCUGAUCCACUGUAAUUCAGCGGAUCAACUUGCAGACAUUUUAACCAAAGCUCUUAGUGUCACAAGGUUCGAAUGUCUAAGAAAGAAGCUAGGUGUUUGCUCCAUGCAAACCAAGGAGGAGUGAUGAAGUUGGUUCAGCAUGCAGCAAACUCGACAGCAUGCAGGCCAUGAAGACCAAGUCAUUCAGGAGCUGCUGAUGCAAGCUUAUUUUGUUUAUUUUGUAAUUCCUAGUCAAUGAAAUGUAAUCUUAGUUCAUUUCUAACUAAGUUAGGUUGUUGACUGAUGUAAUUAGCUUAUGUAUGAGCUGUAAACACAACUUUGUAUAAGUUUACAAGCCAAAAUUUCAAGUUUCCAUGUCAUUAGUGGAGGUAGGUGAUGUUUAGGUAAUUACUUACUGUUUUUGACAAGCUUAGUACCUGGUUUAUGUAUUGGCAUUGUGCCAUUAUGCAAUUUAUGAAUGAAGUUCAGUUUGUUCAUCAAUUUUUCUCUUCAUUUUCUCUUAGCUUUUCUUCCUUUCUCUUGCUCGAAUUCUCUUGUUUGCUCAGCAAGUCUCGAGACUUGCUCGACAAGUCUGUAUUGAAUCUGUUAGUUUCAGUUACAGCACCAACACACUCUUUUCAUGAUUUUUUUUAGGGACAUAAUUACGCAUAAACUUCCAAAUUAAGAUUUUUACCUUGGAUGGACAUUGUAAUUGCCAAAGUUGUUUGUAAACAUUGCACGCAGUCAAGUCUAAGAUGGGGGGAUUGAUUAGCAGGUGAUAUCCACUUCGAACAGUGUAUAAGUCAGAAUGUUCAUCACUCCAAACCAG